GAUGAAGAACGUAGCGAAAUGCGAUAAGUAAUGUGAAUUGCAGAAUUCAGUGAAUCAUCGAAUCUUUGAACGCACAUUGCGCCCUCUGGUAUUCCGGGGGGCAUGCCUGUUCGAGCGCCAUUACAACCCUCAAGCUUUGCUUGGUAUUGGACAUUGCCAGUUUCUGGCAGGUCUUAAAAUCAGUGGCGGUGCCAUUUGGCUUUAAGCGUAGUAAUUCUUCUCGCUUUGGAGAUCCAGGUGGUUACUUGCCAAUAACCCCCAAUUUUUUCAGGUUGACCUCGGAUCAGGUAGGGAUACCCGCUGAACUUAAGCAUAUCAAUAAGCGGAGGA
rnacentral:misc_RNA from 1 species